rnacentral:rRNA from 1 species
GACGAACGCUGGCGGCGUGCUUAACACAUGCAAGUCGAACGAAGUGGCGCACGGGUGAGUAACGCGUAAUCAACCUGCCCUUCAGGGGGGGACAACAGUUGGAAACGACUGCUAAUCCCGCAUACUACAUGAGGGGAUUGCGUCUGAGUAGCUAGUUGGAGGGGUAACGGCCCACCAAGGCGAUGAUCCGUCGCAGGUCGGAGAGGAUGAACGGCCAAAUUGGGACUGAGACCCGGCCCAGAAUCCGUCGGGAGGCAGCAGUGGGGAAUCUGCCGACAUGGAGGAAAGGCUUACGGAGCAACGCCGCGUGAGGGAUGAAGGCCGUUGGGUUGUAAAGCUAUGUUAAUCGGGACGCGGUACCGGAAUAGAAAGCCACGGCUAACUACGUGCCAGCAGCCGCGGUAAUAC